UCCAGUUGAUCCUGCUGGAGGGUACUGCUAUCGGAGUUCGACUAAGCCAUGCAAGUCUAACCCUAGGACUUCCUGGGGUGGCAGACUGCUGAGUAACACGUAGUCAAUCUACCCUAUAGACGGGGAUAACCUCGAGAAAUUGAGGAUAAUACCCGAUAUUCCUCUUAUGCUGGAAUGCUUAGAGGUUUAAAUGGGCGGUGAAUUGGAGCCGUUCCGCUGUAGGACGAGACUGCGGGGGAUUAUGGUUGUUGGUAGGGUAAUGGCUUACCAAGCCGAUAAUCUCUAGGGGCCAUGAGAGUGGUGGCCCCCAGAAGGACACUGAGACAAGGGUCCUAGCCCUACGGGGUGCAGCAGGCGCGAAACCUCUACAAUGCUGGAAACAGUGAUAGGGGGACUCCGAGUGGCGUCGGCUAAGCUGGCGUCUUUUGCCAAGUGUAAAUAGCUUGGAGAAUAAGGGUGUGGGCAAGACUGGUGGCAGCCGCCGCGGUAACACCAGCGCCUCAAGUGGUACCCACGAAUACUGGGCCUAGAGCGUUCGUAGCCGGCCAAAUAAGUCUUCUGUGAAAUAGUAGGGCUUAACCCUACUGCGCGCAGGAGAUACUGUUUGACUUGGGAACGGGGGAGGUCAGGAGUACACCCGGGGUAGGGGUAAAAUCCUUUGAGCCUGGGUGGACUACCAGUGGCGAAGGCGCCUGACCAAAACGUGUCCGACGGUGAGGAACGAAAGCUGGGGGAGCGAACGGGAUUAGAUACCCCGGUAGUCCCAGCCGUAAAUGAUGCAGACUGUGGUGUUGCUUCAGAGUUAAUCUGCAGCAGUGCUGUAGCGUAGGUGUUAAGUCUGCCGCCUGGGGAGUACGGCCGCAAGGUUGAAACUUAAAGGAAUUGGCGGGGGAGCACCACAAGGGGUGGAUGCUACGGUUUAAUUGGAUACAACGCCGUGAACUUCACCAAGGGCGACGGCAGAAUGAAGGUCAGACUAAAGAUCUUACCUAACAAGCCGAGAGGUGUUGCAUGGCCAUCGUCAGCUCGUGGCGUGAGUUGUCAGGUUAAGUCCUGCAACGAGCGAGACCCAUACCAUUAAUUGCUACUUUUACCUUUAGUAAGAGGCACCUUAAUGGGACUGCCCGCGUUAAGUGGGAGGAAGGAGUGGGCGACGGUAGGUCAGUAUGGCCCGAAUCCCUUGGGCUACACGCGGCAUACAAUGGCUGGAACAAUGGGUUGCUACUCCGAAAGGAGACGCUAAUCCCCUAAAUCCAGUCUUAGUUCGGAUUGAGGGUUGAAACUCACCCUCAUGAAGCUGGAAUCCCUAGUAAUCGCGUGUCAUCAUCGCGCGGUGAAUACGUCCCCGCUCCUUGCACACACCGCCCGUCAAGUCACCCAAAUGUGGUGUAGGUGAGGCUCCGGUUUCUGCCGGAUUCGAACCUAUGUUGCGUGAGGGGGGCUAAGUCGUAACAAGGUU
rnacentral:rRNA from 1 species